rnacentral:rRNA from 1 species
AACGAACGCUGGCGGCAUGCCUAACACAUGCAAGUCGAACGAGACCUUCGGGUCUAGUGGCGCACGGGUGCGUAACGCGUGGGAACCUGCCCUUAGGUUCGGAAUAACUCCCCGAAAGGGGUGCUAAUACCGGAUAAUGUCUGCGGACCAAAGAUUUAUCGCCUUUGGAUGGGCCCGCGUUGGAUUAGCUAGUUGGUAGGGUAAAAGCCUACCAAGGCGACGAUCCAUAGCUGGUCUGAGAGGAUGAUCAGCCACACUGGGACUGAGACACGGCCCAGACUACUACGGGAGGCAGCAGUGGGGAAUCUUGGACAAUGGGCGAAAGCCUGAUCCAGCAAUGCUGCGUGAGUGAUGAAGGCCUUAGGGUUGUAAAGCUCUUUUACCCGGGAUGAUACUGACAGUACCGGGAGAAUAAGCUCCGGCUAACUCCGUG